rnacentral:rRNA from 1 species
AGUGGAGCCUGCGGCUUAAUUUGACUCAACACGGGAAAACUUACCCGGCCCGGACACCGGAAGGAUUGACAGAUUAAGAGCUCUUUCUUGAUUCGGUGGGUGGUGGUGCAUGGCCGUUCUUAGUUGGUGGAGCGAUUUGUCUGGUUAAUUCCGAUAACGAACGAGACUCUAUCCUACUAAAUAGGCGACCGAUCACUUCAGUCGGUCGAUCUUCUUAGAGGGACAAGCGGCGUUUAGCCGCACGAGACAGAGCAAUAACAGGUCUGUGAUGCCCUUAGAUGUCCGGGGCCGCACGCGCGCUACACUGAAGGAAUCAGCGUGUGUUUGCCCCUGUCCGGCAGGACUGGGUAACCCGAUGAACCUCCUUCGUGAUAGGGAUAGGGGCUUGUAAUUAUUCCCCUUGAACGAGGAAUUCCCAGUAAGCGCGAGUCAUAAGCUCGCGUUGAUUACGUCCCU